AUUGAACGCUGGCGGCAUGCCUUACACAUGCAAGUCGAACGGCAGCACGGGUGAUUGUACCUGGUGGCGAGUGGCGAACGGGUGAGUAAUACAUCGGAACAUGUCCUGUAGUGGGGGAUAGCCCGGCGAAAGCCGGAUUAAUACCGCAUACGAUCUACGGAUGAAAGCGGGGGUCCUUCGGGCCUCGCGAUAUAGGGCUGGCCGAUGGCUGAUUAGCUAGUUGGAGGGGUAAAGGCCUACCAAGGCGACGAUCAGUAGCUGGUCUGAGAGGACGACCAGCCACACUGGGACUGAGACACGGCCCAGACUCCUACGGGAGGCAGCAGUGGGGAAUUUUGGACAAUGGGCGAAAGCCUGAUCCAGCAAUGCCGCGUGUGUGAAGAAGGCCUUCGGGUUGUAAAGCACUUUUGUCCGGAAAGAAAUCCUUGGCCCUAAUACGGUCGGGGAAUGACGGUACCGGAAGAAUAAGCACCGGCUAACUACGUG
rnacentral:rRNA from 1 species